CCUACGGGUGGCAGCAGUGGGGAAUAUUGCGCAAUGGGCGAAAGCCUGACGCAGCGACGCCGCGUGAGGGAUGAAGGUCUUCGGAUCGUAAACCUCUGUCAGCAGGGAAGAACGGUCACUGUGCUAAUCAGCAGUGAAUUGACGGGACCUGCAAAGGAAGCACCGGCUAACUCCGUGCCAGCAGCCGCGGUAAUACGGCGGGUGCGAGCGUUAGUCGGAAUUACUGGGCGUAAAGCGCUCGUAGGCGGCAUGUCAAGUCAAGGGUGAAAUCCCCGCGCUCAACGUGGGAACUGCCUUUGAAACUGGCAAACUGGAGUGUGUGAGAGGAUAGGGGAAUUCCAGGUGUAGGAGUGAAAUGCGUAGAUAUCUGGAGGAACAUCAGUGGCGAAGGCGACUAUCUGGCACAUAACUGACGCUGAGGAGCGAAAGCGUGGGUAGCAAACAGGAUUAGAUACCCUUGUAGUC
rnacentral:rRNA from 1 species